rnacentral:misc_RNA from 1 species
ACGUUUUUUUUUUUUUUUGAAGUUUCUGCUAUUACGAGGGGACGAUGGUGCCAAUGUAGCCAAAUCCAGCAAUUGUGAAAGUGAUGACUUGGAGGAAGAUGUAAAGAAAGUACUGGCUUUUCCCAUAGAGGACAUCAUAGCAUCCACAAAAGAAAAGGAAAACUGCGAAUCCCAAUUCUUGUGGAAGAAUCCUGUCUCCAAAUAGAGAUCCUCGGGGUUUUUUGGUUUGUUUUGUUUUUUCUUUGUUCUUGAGAGCAUCACCUAGU